ensembl:snRNA
AUGUUUAAUGGAAAGACAGGAGGUUGGUCCUCCCCUCAAUAAGUAUGGAAGAGGUGCUACUGGCCUUUGCACCAUGCACACGGAGAAGUUAUUGCCACCUCUUCUGUGGCUUUUUUUUUCAUUUUUAG